rnacentral:lncRNA from 1 species
UCGCCUUGCCUAACACACAUGACUUAUAUUUAUUGAACUUGGAAAUAACAGAAGGCAAACGAUUUGACGAAACUACAUGACGAAAAACCGACUCAUUAGGGUGACCCAGCCGUUGAUGCCAGACAUCCAGAUUAGCUUGAGUCGAAUGAAGGAUUGUAGGUGGAGUCGGGACGAUCUUGUAGAGGGAUCCAUCAUGUUGUCCUUGAAGGGUACCUUGUGAGUAAUUCGGUCCUUCACAAAAACACGAAAAAGUUAAACACAAAAUAACAAUUAUUAUCCCUAUAAAAUUGCUGAACGGAUAAUAACAGAGUUUUAAGUGGCGGAACAUGUAGAAUAUUGCGUAAUGAAAAAAGAGAGGAUCUACUUGCAAAAUUA